rnacentral:rRNA from 1 species
AUUGAACGCUGGCGGCAUGCUUUACACAUGCAAGUCGAACGGCAGCGCGGGCUUCGGCCUGGCGGCGAGUGGCGAACGGGUGAGUAAUGCAUCGGAACGUGCCCAGUAGUGGGGGAUAGCCCGGCGAAAGCCGGAUUAAUACCGCCUACGACCUGCGGGUGAAAGCGGGGGACCGAAAGGCCUCGCGCUAUUGGAGCGGCCGAUGUCGGAUUAGCUAGUUGGUGGGGUAAAGGCUUACCAAGGCGACGAUCCGUAGCUGGUCUGAGAGGACGACCAGCCACACUGGGACUGAGACACGGCCCAGACUCCUACGGGAGGCAGCAGUGGGGAAUUUUGGACAAUGGGGGCAACCCUGAUCCAGCCAUGCCGCGUGCGGGAAGAAGGCCUUCGGGUUGUAAACCGCUUUUGUUCGGGAAGAAAUCCUCUGGGCUAAUACCCCGGGGGGAUGACGGUACCGGAAGAAUAAGCACCGGCUAACUACGUG